CAUUAAGUUGGGCACUCUAAGUUGACUGCCGGUGACAAACCGGAGGAAGGUGGGGAUGACGUCAAAUCAUCAUGCCCCUUAUGAUUUGGGCUACACACGUGCUACAAUGGACAAUACAAAGGGCAGCGAAACCGCGAGGUCAAGCAAAUCCCAUAAAGUUGUUCUCAGUUCGGAUUGUAGUCUGCAACUCGACUACAUGAAGCUGGAAUCGCUAGUAAUCGUAGAUCAGCAUGCUACGGUGAAUACGUUCCCGGG
rnacentral:rRNA from 1 species